rnacentral:rRNA from 1 species
GGGGAAUAUUGCACAAUGGGGGGAACCCUGAUGCAGCAACGCCGCGUGAGCGAAGAAGGCUUUCGGGUCGUAAAGCUCUGUCCUAAGGGAAGAAGUAUGACGGUACCUUAGGAGGAAGCCCCGGCUAACUACGUGCCAGCAGCCGCGGUAAUACGUAGGGGGCAAGCGUUAUCCGGAAUUACUGGGCGUAAAGGGUGCGUAGGCGGCCAAUAAAGUCUGUGGUGAAAGGCUACGGCUUAACCGUAGUAAGCCUUGGAAACUUAUUGGCUUGAGUGCAGGAGAGGAGAGUGGAAUUCCUAGUGUAGCGGUGAAAUGCGUAGAGAUUAGGAGGAACAUCAGUGGCGAAGGCGACUCUCUGGACUGUAACUGACGCUGAGGCACGAAAGCGUGGGUAGCGAAC